UCGUAAUAGUUGUUCAGUAAUCGUUCAGUAAACAUUCAGUAAACAUUCAGUAAAAGGUGCAAUUUAAUUUGCAACAUGCCACGCCUAUACUCAGAUCGUGAAUAUGCUGACAUGCAUUACAUUUAUGGUUUGUCCAACGGUAAUGCUUCAUUUGCUAGAGACUUAUAUCAACGAACAUAUCCGAGAAGAAAUGUUCCGGAUCGAUCUGUAUUUGUACGAAUUGAUACACAGUUAUGCAAGACUGGUACAUUUUGUAAACCUAAAAAACGAUGUUAGUUGACGCUGCUAAAACAGAAUAUGCCGACAUCGUUAUGCGGAUAUAAACAAAGACACUAUCUAAUCAUAUGUAUAAAAAUGAUGAAAUACAAUCUUUGAAGAAAUAAAAGUAUUCAAUGUGAAA